UACAGAGGUCUCAAGCGUUGUUCGGAUUCAUUGGGCGUAAAGGGUGUGUAGGUGGCGCCGUAAGUCGGGUGUGAAAUUUCGGAGCUUAACUCCGAAACUGCAUUCGAUACUGCGGUGCUUGAGGACUGGAGAGGAGACUGGAAUUCAUGGUGUAGCAGUGAAAUGCGUAGAGAUCAUGAGGAAGACCAGUGGCGAAGGCGGGUCUCUAGACAGUUCCUGACACUGAGACACGAAGGCCAGGGGAGCAAACGGG
rnacentral:rRNA from 1 species